rnacentral:lncRNA from 1 species
GUAAGUAGUCCUUUGACCUGAGGCAUCAUCGUUGUCUUGUGGUUAAGUACUUGAUCUUUGAUUAUAUCAAAGUCACUCCAUCUGCGGGUGUCCACGGCAUAGUCGGGGUUAAGUCACUUAGUCAUGAAGGCAAGUGAAUGCGCAACAAGGAAUCUCUAAUCCUCAUUAAGAGAGGAUGAAUACUCUAAGAUAUGAUUCGGGAAUCUUUGGCCGAAGUAUCGAGCGUUAUAAAGGAAAGCGUUCCUAUACGACUCAA